rnacentral:lncRNA from 1 species
UUUUGAACUUUGUUUUGAUACCCGUUCCCUUUCCAUUCACCAAUUCCUUUCUCCUAUUACCCUUUCCCAUCUCCCUUUCUCUCUUUCCUCUUCACCUGUCCCUAUCAAAGGAACCUAGCUUUCCAUCUCGCUACCAGACGAUGUCCCUUUUCUUUCUUAGUCUCUUCGUUGCUGGAAAACCCCAAAUUCCCGUCCCUUGUUCUUCUAUUUUAGCUGCUCCUUACAUUGAAUAAAAUAUCAGUCUUUUCUCAGUCUUAAUCGACAUUGUGUUUUUUUUUUAAAAUUCUCAUUGGCUAUUUAUUUUUGUGUUUUUCUUUAAUUUCUAGAUCUGCUAUAAUUUAUUUUCUC